rnacentral:rRNA from 1 species
CCAGACUCCUACGGGAGGCAGCAGUGGGGGAUAUUGCACAAUGGGGGGAACCCUGAUGCAGCGACGCCGCGUGGGUGAAGGAGCGUUUCAGCGCGUAAAGCCCUAUCGGCAGGGAAGAAGAUGACGGUACCUGACCAAGAAGCCCCGGCUAACUACGUGCCAGCAGCCGCGGUAAUACGGAGGAUGCGAGCGUUAUCCGGAUUUAUUGGGUUUAAAGGGUGCGCAGGCGGAGGUGCAAGUCAGCGGUCAAAUUGCGGGGCUCAACCCCGUACUGCCGUUGAAACUGCAUCCCUUGAGUGCGCGAGAAGUAUGCGGAAUGCGUGGUGUAGCGGUGAAAUGCAUAGAUAUCACGCAGAACUCCGAUUGCGAAGGCAGCAUACCGGCGCUCAACUGACGCUGAAGCACGAAGGCGUGGGUAUCGAACAGGAUUAGAUACCCCAGUA